UGCAGUCGAGCGGANCGAAUGGAAGCUUGCUUCUGUUUGGUUAGCGGCGGACGGGUGAGUAACACGUGGGCAACCUGCCCGUAAGACCGGGAUAACUUCGGGAAACCGGAGCUAAUACCGGAUAACACCGAAGACCGCAUGGUCUUUGGUUGAAAGGCGGCAUUGGCUGUCACUUACGGAUGGGCCCGCGGCGCAUUAGCUAGUUGGUGAGGUAACGGCUCACCAAGGCGACGAUGCGUAGCCGACCUGAGAGGGUGAUCGGCCACACUGGGACUGAGACACGGCCCAGACUCCUACGGGAGGCAGCAGUAGGGAAUCUUCCGCAAUGGACGAAAGUCUGACGGAGCAACGCCGCGUGAGCGAAGAAGGUCUUCGGAUUGUAAAGCUCUGUUGUUAGGGAAGAACAAGUGCUGUUCGAAGAGGGCGGCACCGUGACGGUACCNNNNNAGAAAGCCACGGCUAACUACGUGCCAGCAGCCGCGGUGAUACGUAGGUGGCAAGCGUUGUCCGGAAUUAUUGGGCGUAAAGCGCGCGCAGGCGGUCCUUUAAGUCUGAUGUGAAAGCCCACGGCUCAACCGUGGAGGGUCAUUGGAAACUGNGGGACUUGAGUGCAGAAGAGGGGAGCGGANUUCCACGUGUAGCGGUGAAAUGCGUAGAGAUGUGGAGGAACACCAGUGGCGAANGCGGCUCUCUGGUCUGUAACUGACGCUGAGGCGCGAAAGCGUGGGGAGCAAACAGGAUUAGAUACCCNGGUAGUCCACGCCGUAAACGAUGAGUGCUAAGUGUUA
rnacentral:rRNA from 1 species